UACAUGGGGUGCAAGCGUUGCUCGGAAUUACUGGGCGUAAAGCGUGCGCAGGCGGUUAUAUAAGACAGUUGUGAAAUCCCCGGGCUCAACCUGGGAACUGCAUCUGUGACUGUAUAGCUAGAGUACGGUAGAGGGGGAUGGAAUUCUCGGUGUAGCGGUGAAAUGCGUAGAUAUCGAGAGGAACACCUGCGGCGAAGGCGGGUAGCUGGGCCGACACUGACGCUGAGGCGCGAAAGCUAGGGGAGCGAACGGG
rnacentral:rRNA from 1 species